UACAGAGGGUGCAAGCGUUGUUCGGAAUCAUUGGGCGUAAAGCGCACGUAGGCGGCCUGCUAAGUCGGAUGUGAAAGCCCCAGGGCUCAACCCUGGAAGUGCAUUCGAAACUGGCGGGCUUGAAUGUCGGAGAGGGCAGUGGAAUUCCGAGUGUAGAGGUGAAAUUCGUAGAUAUUCGGAGGAACACCAGUGGCGAAGGCGACUGCCUGGACGAACAUUGACGCUGAGGUGCGAAAGCGUGGGGAGCAAACAGG
rnacentral:rRNA from 1 species